CGGGUGUAGUUGGUUCAGAUGUGUCUCUUGUACACAGGAGUUGUUAUGAUUACUUUACACUACUGCAAUUGGGUCAGUAUUGGUGAGUCUCAAUCGUUCAGUAGAAAUCACUUUCAAUGAUUUUUUUUUUUAUUUUAACUAAAACGAAAUUGCAACGUUCUCUAGAAUUUAUUCAUUGUUUCACUCUUUUUUUUCUGUCAAAUAGCUUCCAAUUCA
rnacentral:lncRNA from 1 species